UACGUAGGGGGCAAGCGUUGUCCGGAUUCAUUGGGCGUAAAGAGCGUGUAGGCGGCCAGGUAGGUCGGUUGUGAAAACUGGAGGCUCAACCUUCAGAGGUCGACCGAAACCAUCUGGCUAGAGUCCGGGAGAGGAGAGUGGAAUUCCUGGUGUAGCGGUGAAAUGCGCAGAUAUCAGGAAGAACACCCGUGGCGAAAGCGGCUCUCUGGAACGGUACUGACGCUCAUGCACGAAAGCGUGGGGAGCAAACAGG
rnacentral:rRNA from 1 species